ACGAAUUAAGUUCUUAACCCGAGGUACCACUGUAUUUUAUCAUCAAGUCUGUACAGUGGUACCUUGGGUUAAGUACUUAAUUCAU